rnacentral:rRNA from 1 species
UACGAAGGGGGCUAGCGUUGUUCGGAAUUACUGGGCGUAAAGGGCUCGUAGGCGGCCAACUAAGUCGGACGUGAAAUCCCUCGGCUUAACCGGGGAACUGCGUCCGAUACUGGAUGGCUUGAGUUCGGGAGAGGGAUGCGGAAUUCCAGGUGUAGCGGUGAAAUGCGCAGAUAUCAGGAAGAACACCCGUGGCGAAAGCGGCUCUCUGGAACGGUACUGACGCUGAGACGCGAAAGCGUGGGGAGCGAACAGG